rnacentral:tRNA from 1 species
AAAUAAGAAGCGAUCAAUCGCAUUCAGUUUCGACCUGAAUUUAGAUGAAACCAUCCUUAUUUA